rnacentral:rRNA from 1 species
UGACGGAGCAACGCCGCGUGAGUGAUGAAGGUUUUCGGAUCGUAAAGCUCUGUUGUUAGGGAAGAACAAGUGCCGUUCAAAUAGGGCGGCACCUUGACGGUACCUAACCAGAAAGCCACGGCUAACUACGUGCCAGCAGCCGCGGUAAUACGUAGGUGGCAAGCGUUGUCCGGAAUUAUUGGGCGUAAAGGGCUCGCAGGCGGUUUCUUAAGUCUGAUGUGAAAGCCCCCGGCUCAACCGGGGAGGGUCAUUGGAAACUGGGGAACUUGAGUGCAGAAGAGGAGAGUGGAAUUCCACGUGUAGCGGUGAAAUGCGUAGAGAUGUGGAGGAACACCAGUGGCGAAGGCGACUCUCUGGUCUGUAACUGACGCUGAGGAGCGAAAGCGUGGGGAGCGAACAGGAUUAGAUACCCUGGUAGUCCACGCCGUAAACGAUGAGUGCUAAGUGUUAGGGGGUUUCCGCCCCUUAGUGCUGCAGCUAACGCAUUAAGCACUCCGCCUGGGGAGUACGGUCGCAAGACUGAAACUCAAAGGAAUUGACGGGGGCCCGCACAAGCGGUGGAGCAUGUGGUUUAAUUCGAAGCAACGCGAAGAACCUUACCAGGUCUUGACAUCCUCUGACAAUCCUAGAGAUAGGACGUCCCCUUCGGGGGCAGAGUGACAGGUGGUGCAUGGUUGUCGUCAGCUCGUGUCGUGAGAUGUUGGGUUAAGUCCCGCAACGAGCGCAACCCUUGAUCUUAGUUGCCAGCAUUCAGUUGGGCACUCUAAGGUGACUGCCGGUGACAAACCGGAGGAAGGUGGGGAUGACGUCAAAUCAUCAUGCCCCUUAUGACCUGGGCUAC